rnacentral:rRNA from 1 species
AGAGUUUGAUCAUGGCUCAGAACGAACGCUGGCGGCAGGCUUAACACAUGCAAGUCGAGCGCCCGCAGCAAUACGGGAGCGGGAGACGGGUGAGUAACACGUGGGAACGUACCCUUUGGUUCGGAAUAACCCAGGGAAACUUGGGCUAAUACCGGAUACGUCCGAAAGGAGAAAGAUUUAUCGCCGAGGGAUCGGCCCGC